CAGCCGCCGCGGGAAUACGUAGGGUCCGAGCGUUGUCCGGAAUUAUUGGGCGUAAAGGGCUCGUAGGCGGUUUGUUGCGUCGGGAGUGAAAACCAGGUGCUUAACACCUGGCCUGCUUUCGAUACGGGCAGACUAGAGGCAUUCAGGGGAGAACGGAAUUCCUGGUGUAGCGGUGAAAUGCGCAGAUAUCAGGAGGAACACCGGUGGCGAAGGCGGUUCUCUGGGAAUGUUCUGACGCUGAGGAGCGAAAGUGUGGGGAGCGAACAGGAUUAGAUACCCGGGUAGUCCCUGUCUCUUAUAC
rnacentral:rRNA from 1 species